rfam:Picea glauca, whole genome shotgun sequence.
GGGUGCGAUCAGACCAACAUUAAUGCACCAGAUCCCAUCAGAACUUCGUAGUUAAGUGCACUUGCACUAGAGUAGUACUCAGAUGGGUGACCUCUUGGUAAGUCCUAGUGUUGCACCCU